GACGAACGCUGGCGGCGUGCUUAACACAUGCAAGUCGAACGGUGAAGCCCUUCGGGGUGGAUCAGUGGCGAACGGGUGAGUAACACGUGAGCAACCUGCCCCUGGCUCUGGGACAACCACUGGAAACGGUGGCUAAUACCGGAUACGACCCGCCUCGGCAUCGAGUGUGGGUGGAAAGUUUUUCGGCUGGGGAUGGGCUCGCGGCCUAUCAGCUUGUUGGUGAGGUGAAGGCUCACCAAGGCGACGGCGGGUAGCCGGCCUGAGAGGGCGACCGGCCACACUGGGACUGAGACACGGCCCAGACUCCUACGGGAGGCAGCAGUGGGGAAUAUUGCACAAUGGGCGAAAGCCUGAUGCAGCGACGCCGCGUGAGGGAUGACGGCCUUCGGGUUGUAAACCUCUUUCAGCUCCGAAGAAGCGAAAGUGACGGUAGGAGCAGAAGAAGCACCGGCUAACUACGUG
rnacentral:rRNA from 1 species